rnacentral:lncRNA from 1 species
AGCAACUCUCAGUGAGACGACUUUCCAGCCUUUCCUAGGACAAGGAAAAGCUUUUCCUAGGACAGGGGAAAGCCCUAUUAAAUAAGCUAAACAGAUCAGAGAGGCCGCAUGAGUCAUCAGAGUCACUCAGCAGGUCCUGUGUGUAGCUGCUACAGCUGAGAAUGGCCCUCCUGCACUUCCCUCCCCCACCCUACCCUCUGUAUCCAAACUCAUCUGAGCACACUUGGGAUGGAAAUCUUGGAGCAUCAGUUUUGUCCUGUUGUGAAAUGUACCCCAAGCAGUCUCAGGGGCCCAACCAGGUUUACAGAAGACUGUAGCUUAAGACAUCUAAGCUCUCUCCUCCCUUUGUCAUGCCAUCUAGAACACACUUCUAAAUUGUAGUUACAUACUAACUUAGGUGAUCAUUCACUGCCUCCCCCUGCUAAGUCCUGGGACCCUCUCAGUCUUUCUGGUUUCAAUGGCUGUCAGGAAUGUGAUAAUAUCUAUCAAUAUUUAGAUGUCUGUUUUAGGAAAGAAGGAAGAAAUAAAACCAUGUGUUUUCAUGGAAAGAAAGCAAACAACAGACAACUGGAUGUCUUCUCUAGAUAAUUAGGUGUUGAGAUACUGCAGAAAGGAGGACAGAACGGUAAAACAUUACAACAGAAAAUCAACCAAGAGCUAGGGUGUUUGUCCACCCAGAGUGCUGGUUCUGCUUAGUUUUAGAAAUAAUAACAACAAUGAUAAUGACAAGAAUGGCUCACAGUCACUGACAGCUUACCAUGAGCCUGGUGUGGGGCUAAGCACUCUACAUAUACCAUCUCCCUGAAUACUCAUUAUCUGCCAUGGUGUUAUUUCCAUUUUACACAAGGGUAAACCGUGCUUGAGUGACUCCUGAAGUCCCACAGCCAGUGAGUAGUACAGCGCAUCAUGGAGGAAAGAAGGAAGAGAACAAAGGAGGGAAGAAAGAAGAAUGUUUUAUUUGUUGGGAAGGCAGCCACUGAAAAAUCAUUUCUCCUCCUCCCCAGCAGGAAGCAAACCCCAUACUCCAGGUAUAUCUCAGUAAACAACCAAAGCUAUAUGUGUGUGUAGUCAACAAUCCCAAGGUGGAGCACCGUGCAGUGAAGAAAGGCUGUGAGCUCCAGAGGAAGGGACAGGACAGCUUCUGGCUUUGUCCACCUGCCUGCAGCAGUUCCUGCCUGCCACUUGGCAAAUAUCAAAUAAAUACUGUUGAAUAAUCAAAUAAAUUAAUUUGAUGCUAUGACUACAUUUCUUAACAUGGAAACAUGUCAACGAUAUCUUGCAAAGUGCAAUCAACAGGCUAUAGAAGAGUAUGUGAGAAUUAUCUCAUUUUUG